UACAGAGGGUGCGAGCGUUAAUCGGAAUUACUGGGCGUAAAGCGUGCGUAGACGGCUAUCUAAGUCGGGUGUGAAAGUCCCGGGCUCAACCUGGGAAUUGCAUUCGAGACUGAAUAGCUAGGGUACGGUAGAGGGAAGUGGAAUUUCCGGUGUAGCGGUGAAAUGCGUAGAUAUCGGAAGGAACAUCAGUGGCGAAAGCGACUUCCUGGACCAGUACCGACGUUCAGGCACGAAAGCGUGGGGAGCAAACAGG
rnacentral:rRNA from 1 species